rnacentral:rRNA from 1 species
AUCCUGGCUCAGGAUGAACGCUGGCGGCGUGCCUAAUACAUGCAAGUCGAGCGAACGGACGAGAAGCUUGCUUCUCUGAUGUUAGCGGCGGACGGGUGAGUAACACGUGGAUAACCUACCUAUAAGACUGGGAUAACUUCGGGAAACCGGAGCUAAUACCGGAUAAUAUUUUGAACCGCAUGGUUCAAAAGUGAAAGACGGUCUUGCUGUCACUUAUAGAUGGAUCCGCGCUGCAUUAGCUAGUUGGUAAGGUAACGGCUUACCAAGGCAACGAUGCAUAGCCGACCUGAGAGGGUGAUCGGCCACACUGGAACUGAGACACGGUCCAGACUCCUACGGGAGGCAGCAGUAGGGAAUCUUCCGCAAUGGGCGAAAGCCUGACGGAGCAACGCCGCGUGAGUGAUGAAGGUCUUCGGAUCGUAAAACUCUGUUAUUAGGGAAGAACAUAUGUGUAAGUAACUGUGCACAUCUUGACGGUACCUAAUCAGAAAGCCACGGCUAACUACGUGCCAGCAGCCGCGGUAAUACGUAGGUGGCAAGCGUUAUCCGGAAUUAUUGGGCGUAAAGCGCGCGUAGGCGGUUUUUUAAGUCUGAUGUGAAAGCCCACGGCUCAACCGUGGAGGGUCAUUGGAAACUGGAAAACUUGAGUGCAGAAGAGGAAAGUGGAAUUCCAUGUGUAGCGGUGAAAUGCGCAGAGAUAUGGAGGAACACCAGUGGCGAAGGCGACUUUCUGGUCUGUAACUGACGCUGAUGUGCGAAAGCGUGGGGAUCAAACAGGAUUAGAUACCCUGGUAGUCCACGCCGUAAACGAUGAGUGCUAAGUGUUAGGGGGUUUCCGCCCCUUAGUGCUGCAGCUAACGCAUUAAGCACUCCGCCUGGGGAGUACGACCGCAAGGUUGAAACUCAAAGGAAUUGACGGGGACCCGCACAAGCGGUGGAGCAUGUGGUUUAAUUCGAAGCAACGCGAAGAACCUUACCAAAUCUUGACAUCCUUUGACAACUCUAGAGAUAGAGCUUUCCCCUUCGGGGGACAAAGUGACAGGUGGUGCAUGGUUGUCGUCAGCUCGUGUCGUGAGAUGUUGGGUUAAGUCCCGCAACGAGCGCAACCCUUAAGCUUAGUUGCCAUCAUUAAGUUGGGCACUCUAAGUUGACUGCCGGUGACAAACCGGAGGAAGGUGGGGAUGACGUCAAAUCAUCAUGCCCCUUAUGAUUUGGGCUACACACGUGCUACAAUGGACAAUACAAAGGGCAGCGAAACCGCGAGGUCAAGCAAAUCCCAUAAAGUUGUUCUCAGUUCGGAUUGUAGUCUGCAACUCGACUACAUGAAGCUGGAAUCGCUAGUAAUCGUAGAUCAGCAUGCUACGGUGAAUACGUUCCCGGGUCUUGUACACACCGCCCGUCACACCACGAGAGUUUGUAACACCCGAAGCCGGUGGAGUAACCUUUUAGGAGCUAGCCGUCGAAGUGGGACAAAUGAUUGGGGUGAAGUCGUAACAAGGUAGCCGUA